GAUGAACGCUGGCGGCGUGCCUAAUACAUGCAAGUCGAGCGAACGGACGAGAAGCUUGCUUCUCUGAUGUUAGCGGCGGACGGGUGAGUAACACGUGGAUAACCUACCUAUAAGACUGGGAUAACUUCGGGAAACCGUAGCUAAUACCGGAUAAUAUUUUGAACCGCAUGGUUCAAAAGUGAAAGACGGUCUUGCUGUCACUUAUAGAUGGAUCCGCGCUGCAUUAGCUAGUUGGUAAGGUAACGGCUUACCAAGGCAACGAUGCAUAGCCGACCUGAGAGGGUGAUCGGCCAAACUGGAACUGAGACACGGUCCAGACUCCUACGGGAGGCAGCAGUAGGGAAUCUUCCGCAAUGGGCGAAAGCCUGACGGAGCAACGCCGCGUGAGUGAUGAAGGUCUUCGGAUCGUAAAACUCUGUUAUUAGGGAAGAACAUAUGUGUAAGUAACUGUGCACAUCUUGACGGUACCUAAUCAGAAAGCCACGGCUAACUACGU
rnacentral:rRNA from 1 species